CCUACGGGAGGCUGCAGGCGAGAAUAUUCCGCAAUGGACGCAAGUCUGACGGAGCGACGCCGCGUGAUGGAUGAAGUGCUUAGGUACGUAAACAUCUUUUAUCGAGGAAGCGGUACUCGAUGAAUAAGGGGCUCCUAACUCUGUGCCAGCAGGAGCGGUAAUACAGAGGCCCCGAGCAUUACCCGGAAUCACUGGGCGUAAAGGGUGUCCAGGCGGCCUUGUUAGUCUCGCGUAAAAUCUGUGGGCUCAACCUACAGCGCGCGCGGGAAACGGCAAGGCUCGAGGGCGCGAGAGAUAGAGGGAACUCAUGGUGGAGGGGUGAAAUCCGUUGAUAUCAUGGGGAACACCAAAGGCGAAGGCACUCUAUUGGCGCGUCCUGACGCUCACACACGAAAGCCAGGGUAGCGAACGGGAUUAGAUACCCUUGUAGUC
rnacentral:rRNA from 1 species